rnacentral:lncRNA from 1 species
GGAGUUGACGUGUCUGGCACUACGAUGUGAGCUCUCGCACAAUUCGGUAUCCAGUCGCUCGCGAGAUGAGGUGCGGAGAGGUGAUCAGCGCGGCCGCCAUUUUGGGGGCGGCCCUGGUGACCGGCGUCGUGGCCGGUAUCGUGACCGGCACGCCGGGCACGGUCCCUCGCGGUGAGGGUGGACGAAACUCUAACAAUAUUUUGGGCGCGAAUAUUCGGAGACUGAGCGCAGGACAGGAAAAUAUGGAUGGAAUGGAGCGAACCGUGUCCAACACAGUCGGACGAGGGGUUGAAAGUGUUCUGGUGACCGUUGAUGGAAACGCCGCAAACGAUACGAAAAUCUCAAACGAGGAGGACGGAACUACUGGGGACGACAAGGAGUUGGCCAGUGUUAUUUUGCCGCGGGCAGUCAAGAUUUCAAUGAAAUGGGACACUGAUUACUCCUCUGGUAAACACAAGUCUGGCUAUGGCGGUAGGAGUAGGUCAUCGUAUGACAGCUAUGAAAGCAGCAGUUCAGGAAGUAGCUCUGAGUCCGACGAUGACAGUCUGUACCAAUGUUCGCGUUGCGGUCAUAGCAGCGGCGGCGGCAGAGGCUCUCACUCGCACAGUUUCUCUAUCAGCGGUCGGAGGAGCGGCAUGGGCACCCCCGCCGACUCUUACGAAUACAACGACGCCGACUCGGACUCGGACUCGGAUAGUUUCAGUUCUUACGGCAGCAGCCAUAAAGCAGCCAGGAAACGACAGUGACAGUUAGAGCACUUCACGGGAAUUCGUCAAAUUUUGUUUUAAUAUCGCAACUUUAGAAUGGAGUUACGUAUCCUCGUUCGGGAAACGACGAUUAGAGGAAUUUGCUUAAUUUUUUUCUAAUUUCGCAACCUCAGAACGGAGUUCCGUAUCUUCGUACGGGAAACGACAAAUGGAGGAAUUCGUUAACUUUUUUCUAAUUUUGAAACCUUACAAUGGCGUUCCGUAUCUUCGUCCGGGAAACGACAAUGGAGCACGUUACGGAAAUGCGUUAACCUUUUUUUAAAUUUUCAGCCCCCGCCGACUCUUACGAAUACAACGACGCCGACUCGGACUCGGACUCGGAUAGUUUCAGUUCUUACGGCAGCAGCCAUAAAGCAGCCAGGAAACGACAGUGACAGUUAGAGCACUUCACGGGAAUUCGUCAAAUUUUGUUUUAAUAUCGCAACUUUAGAAUGGAGUUACGUAUCCUCGUUCGGGAAACGACGAUUAGAGGAAUUUGCUUAAUUUUUUUCUAAUUUCGCAACCUCAGAACGGAGUUCCGUAUCUUCGUACGGGAAACGACAAAUGGAGGAAUUCGUUAACUUUUUUCUAAUUUUGAAACCUUACAAUGGCGUUCCGUAUCUUCGUCCGGGAAACGACAAAUGGAGCACGUUACGGAAAUGCGUUAACCUUUUUUAAAUUUUCAGCCCCCGCCGACUCUUACGAAUACAACGACGCCGACUCGGACUCGGACUCGGAUAGUUUCAGUUCUUACGGCAGCAGCCAUAAAGCAGCCAGGAAACGACAGUGACAGUUAGAGCACUUCACGGGAAUUCGUCAAAUUUUGUUUUAAUAUCGCAACUUUAGAAUGGAGUUACGUAUCCUCGUUCGGGAAACGACGAUUAGAGGAAUUUGCUUAAUUUUUUUCUAAUUUCGCAACCUCAGAACGGAGUUCCGUAUCUUCGUACGGGAAACGACAAAUGGAGGAAUUCGUUAACUUUUUUCUAAUUUUGAAACCUUACAAUGGCGUUCCGUAUCUUCGUCCGGGAAACGACAAAUGGAGCACGUUACGGAAAUGCGUUAACCUUUUUUUAAAUUUUCAGCCCCGCCGACUCUUACGAAUACAACGACGCCGACUCGGACUCGGACUCGGAUAGUUUCAGUUCUUACGGCAGCAGCCAUAUGGGAGACAUGAGUGACAUGGACAUGGAGGCGGACCAACUGGAGGCGGAUGAGCCGUGGGAUGCUGACCCUUUCGCGAGAAUUCAAAAGUCGCGGCUCCCGCCGCAAUGGGACGACGACGACGAAUACGAAGACGACAUGGGCCCUCCGACUCCUCCAAGUCGGGGAUCCAGGACCCCGAUUGUAGCAUCGAGCCGACUUGCAGGGUCGCGGACACCGACUGCAGGGUCGCCGAGGCGAACUGGAGGAUCGCGGACUCCAACUCGAGGUUGGGAUCAGGCCGAAAGAUAUGACCCAAGUGACGAUUACGCACCCUCCAGGUACGACACCACGUACCAUAACGACCCAAGACGUAAGACGUCGUACGGUGACAAGGGUUACGCAACGCCAAAACGCAAGACGUACGUUUUUUGUUUUAUAUUACUUAAUAAUAUUUUUUAAAAUUAAUAAUCAUUUAAUAAUAUUUAUUCGAAAUGGACUACUGGCGUAGAUCGGCCGGAGUGUCGAGAAAGGAUCACGUUCGGAAUGAGAGGAUCCGUGAAAUUAUGGGCGUCGAAAACAACAUAGUGCAUGACGUUUUUACAAAAGAGCUUGUCUGGUAUGGUCAUGUGCAACGGAAGCCAGAUGAUAGGUUGCCUAAGAAGGUUCUGGUUGGGUCCCCCGUGGCAGAAAGCGUAGAGGACGCCCUGCCAAAUCGUGGAUUGAGGGAAUAAGGCAGGAAAUGAGGAGAUGCGACCUGCCGGAGGAGCUCUGGCAGGAUCGCUAUCAGUGGCGGUUGGGUGUUGCAGAACGCGCGGAAGCGCUAUAAGAGCGACUUGUUAGUAGUAGUGAUAAUAUUUUAUUUAUUAACUAGGGGGCUAGGCUCCCUGGCCGCUCCGCGGCCCAACCCCCGGGAGCGCCUCGCGCCGCAGUGUCACGGAUGUUUUCAUUUGAGAGAAAAGACAAUAUAAACACGAACGACAACUAUCGCAUGAUAAUCAUGAAUGAGAUUAACCUUAAUCUAACCACAAAAUUGAAGCAAUCAAAAUGAACGUUUUUCAUUAAAAUCACAUACCUAAGUGCUACGAUGUCUGCAGAACUUCCUUGUAGCCCCCAAGUUUUUUUUUAGUUCGGUGAAAUGAGUUCCCAUAGCUGACUCUGGAUGGUUGACUUUCGAUCAGUCGUCACGUAGUUAAAAUUGACUGCCGUAGAAUUGGACUUAUUUCUGCCAAACGGAACUAUGUGCAUUAAGCUAUAGGCCCGGAGACCCAUAAGAAUAUAUGCAUAGCAGGACUCGCGUCAUAAUGAACAUAGUGCAUUCAUUCACACCCAAGGGCUCGGGCGAGGGCGACCGCGACUCUCUCGGCUCGUAAACUCUCGCCCGUGAGUUUUAUGGGUCUAUUAGGACGCUGCCGUCUGUCCCAAAAAAUAUCGACAACGCUCAUUUGUCUUUAGACAGAAUCCGUGUUAUUUCUGCGCAAUUUGACAACCACAUUAUUUGUCCAAAUUUCGCAAAUUUGGAAAAAAGGCAAUUACUCUCGUGUGGGUGGAAAUUUCAAAAAUCGGGCUUCGAGGUGCACGUGUGCGUAUAAAGCUGCAUCAGUGGGUAGAAAUGUCUAUGUUGAGAAUUCAAUGGUAUGCUCUGUACACCUUGACAUAGACGCGGUGAAUUUUUUAGAUUUUUCGCGAUAACUCGACCAAUUGUAAUCAUUUUAUGUACAAAAAGCUUCAGCAUAACCAUUUCAGCUCGCUCCUUCAUCAUGACGAAUUUCAAGUUCAUAGGAUCAAUAUUAGUCACGAAAUAGACAAAAAUAGAUUUGCAGAUUUUUCGCAAUAACUCGGCUAAAAAUGAAAAAUUCAAAAAAGAAGAUCACUCCGUGCUACAGAACAUAAGGUGUCACAACUCCGUAAAAUUUCCAUACUCUCGCCCUAACGGUAACUUCAGGACAGCGCGGAACAGAUAUCGACAAUUUUAGGGCUUAAGAUUUUAUAAUAUAGUAAGAUAUCGUAUCGUACUACUGUAAUAACUAUAUCGGUGGCUGAAAUCUUAAAAUAUACAUUCGAACAAUUACAACAGCGAGUAACGAGGCUAGAAAAUACAAAAAUAAAACCGAUCCCUUUCGGCUGGAAACACCACGGUCUAAUUCAGUUGGAUAAAAAUCAAUACAAAUUUAAAAACUUAGUAGCCGGCGGUGACGUGGCAUGCUUUGCGGUACAUCGAUGGAUGUACCAAUUAAACCUAUGGAAAAGGAUCGACAUACAGCCUUUCGUGAUGAACACCUUCAUAAUCGAUUCUUCACCAUAGCUUCUAAUAGGGAAAUAUCGAAAAUCGAUCGUUCACGCCUCGCCACUGGUAGUCGGUUGUACCUUCCCAACAGUGGCGUGGCGUGAAUUGCGAUGUAUCGAUUGUUAUGGCAUUUAAACCUAUGGUAAAGAAUCGAUUAUUAAGGUGUUCGCUGCGAACACCCUGCUUAUCGAUCCUUUUCCAUAGGUUUAAAUGGCAGAUCAUUCGAUAUAUCGCAAAGCACGCCACGCCACUGCUUCCCAAAAGGAGAUAAAUUUUGUUAUGAAAAAAAACAAUUGAUAACACGAUCGACAACAAAACACCGCAACUGAACAUCAAUGAAAUCAAUCUAGUCGCAGUAUUUUGUGUUGACCGUGAAAUCAAGAAAUUUUGCGUAACAACUUUCAUCUUGUUUUGAAAGGUACAACUUAGUACCAAGUGUUUAAUUUUUUUUAUCCAACUAAAGAAGGCUGUGAUGCCUCCAUCCGAAACGUUUUCGUUUUAUUUGUGUUUUCUGGCCUUCAUUGUGAUUGUUUAAAUGGGAACUCCCAAACCACGUACCUCGUUUGCGGAGUUAAUAAAUCCCUGCACCCAUUUUACUUUUUUGACGGAGAACAAGUCAACAUAAUUCACCGAAGUGUUGACAGGAUUUUCACCGCGCUGAUGAUAAUGAACUUCGGAAGUCUAAAAAAUUACUUCGAGUAGUUUUUUCAUUUAAAUAUUAAGUGUGACAGCUAGUCUACAACCGAGUCGCUAGUCAAACCAAAGAAAUCAAGAUAAGUUUAGUGGCAUAGUUACGUUAUUUUGCCAUUUCUCCUCUCACACUCUCAUUCAUACGUGGUCCCAUGGGUUCCUCCAAUUGGACCGCUUUAAACGGAAAGGAACCAAGCCACAUCUGAUAUUGCCAAAAUAAAUUGGGCACUUCAAUUUUGUACAUGAAAACGUUUAUGCGAAUUUUUGCGCACAUUUCAGUAAAUUUUCUGCAUAUUACGAAGCAAAUUAGGUGAAAUUUUCUUAAGGGGUCCGUAAAAACGUUCUCUUGUAAAAAAUUAAAUUCCCCAGUUACAUUAGGCAAUAGCUGAUGUGUCUUUGUUUCUUUCUGCUGAACGCGGUUUAAUUCUCUCCUUACAUCUUCGUUCCUUACAAACCAACAGUGGCGUGGCGUUCUUUGCGAUAUAUCGAUUGCUUUGCCAUUUAAACCUAUGAGAAAGGAUCGACAAACAGGGUAUUCGCAGCGAACACCUUAAUAAUAGAUUCUAUACCAUAACUUCAAAUGGCGAGAUAUCGAUAAUCGAUCAUUCACACCACGCCACUGCAAACCAAGGUAUUACUCUCUCGUAGAACCUUCGCCUGGAAAUUUCCAGCCUCAUCUAUACCUAUUGAUUUAUUUACACUGCCCCAAAGUUGCGAAGCAUGCUGUGUCGUUUUAGUUUUUAAUAUCCAACCAGAUCGUCA